UGAGGAAUAUUGCUCAAUGGACGAAAGUCUGAAGCAGCAACGCCGCGUGAGGGAUGAAGGUGCUCUGCAUUGUAAACCUCUGUAGUUGGGGACAAAAAAUAGGUUACUACCUAUCUGAUGGUACCCAAAAAGUAAGGAUCGGCUAACUACGUGCCAGCAGCCGCGGUAAUACGUAGGAUCCAAGCGUUGUCCGGAUUUACUGGGUGUAAAGGGUGCGCAGGCGGACUUGUUAGUCAGAGGUGAAAUCUCACUGCUUAACAGUGAAACUGCCUUUGAUACUGCAGGUCUUGAAUCCAGAAGAGAGUUGUGGAAUUCCGAGUGUAGCAGUGAAAUGUGUAGAUAUUCGGAAGAACACCAGCGGCGAAGGCAGCAACUUGGUCUGGUAUUGACGCUCAGGCAC
rnacentral:rRNA from 1 species